AGUCGUAACAAGGUCUCCGUAGGUGAACCUGCGGAGGGAUCAUUACACAAAUAUGAAGGCGGGCUGGAACCUCUCGGGGUUACAGCCUUGCUGAAUUAUUCACCCUUGUCUUUUGCGUACUUCUUGUUUCCUUGGUGGGUUCGCCCACCACUAGGACAAACAUAACCCUUUUGUAAUUGCAAUCAGCGUCAGUAACAAAUUAAUAAUUACAACUUUCAACAACGGAUCUCUUGGUUCUGGCAUCGAUGAAGAACGCAGCGAAAUGCGAUAAGUAGUGUGAAUUGCAGAAUUCAGUGAAUCAUCGAAUCUUUGAACGCACAUUGCGCCCUUUGGUAUUCCAAAGGGCAUGCCUGUUCGAGCGUCAUUUGUACCCUCAAGCUUUGCUUGGUGUUGGGCGUCUUGUCUCUAGCUUUGCUGGAGACUCGCCUUAAAGUAAUUGGCAGCCGGCCUACUGGUUUCGGAGCGCAGCACAAGUCGCACUCUCUAUCAGCAAAGGUCUAGCAUCCAUUAAGCCUUUUUUUCAACUUUUGACCUCGGAUCAGGUAGGGAUACCCGCUGAACUUA
rnacentral:rRNA from 1 species